rnacentral:rRNA from 1 species
GACGAACGCUGGCGGCGUGCUUAACACAUGCAAGUCGAACGGAAAGGCCUCUUUCGGGGGGUACUCGAGUGGCGAACGGGUGAGUAACACGUGAGUAACCUGCCCUUGACUUUGGGAUAACUUCAGGAAACUGGGGCUAAUACCGGAUAGGAGCUCCUGCUGCAUGGUGGGGGUUGGAAAGUUUCGGCGGUUGGGGAUGGACUCGCGGCUUAUCAGCUUGUUGGUGGGGUAGUGGCUUACCAAGGCUUUGACGGGUAGCCGGCCUGAGAGGGUGACCGGCCACAUUGGGACUGAGAUACGGCCCAGACUCCUACGGGAGGCAGCAGUGGGGAAUAUUGCACAAUGGGUGGAAGCCUGAUGCAGCAACGCCGUGUGCGGGAUGACGGCCUUCGGGUUGUAACCCGCUUUCGCUCAUGACGAAGCUUUGUGUGACGGUAGUGGGUAAAGAAGCACCGGCUAACUACGUG